CCUCUCUGUUGUGAUUCAUCCCCCCCAGGCCCUACAGUUUCUCCUUCCUGACUCUUACAUUUCUUUGGAUGGCAUCACUAUUUACCUGUCUCCUCCCAUAGUUAGUUGCCAAGCACUGUGGAUUCUACCCCUCAGGGUCCAGACACCCAUUUUCCUUCCCACUGUUCCCUCCCCAUGGAGAAGCCUGUGGCUGACUGACAGCUCAACUUGGAGAAGGUGUUACCUGGGCCAGGUGGGGAAGGUAGGGUUGUUUGCAGAGCAAAGAAGUGAAGCCUAUUCAAUGUGAAAAAGAUGAGGGCGAAGACCUUUAUGAUGAUCCAAGUAAUGAACACACUGGAGAAAGUCAAACAGUCAAAACAAUGUCCCAGACUCCGUGAAGUUCCUGGGUAGAGAAGUAGACAGACGUACACCAUACCUAAUAAUUGGAGGUCCAAGAGAAUGAGAGAAUGGCAGAAAGAACUUUAGAGCAUGGGUAUGAUGGCUAGAGCUUGAGCAGCCAUUGUGGACAUCAGAUGAACCUGAAAGUGAAAACUAUGAGCUGAAUAUGACAAAGCAAAUAGAAAACUGGAUUCAUGAUGACACUGCAAAGCUGCCAGACCAGCUCUAGUCUGCUUCUCCCUAAUCUUCCUUACUAAGAGAGAGAAAUAAACUUCCAUCUUCUUCAAGGCACUGCUGGUGAAUCUGACUACUUACUAGAUGGUUGCAUUUUGAUUUCCCAGAGACAUCUUAAGGUCAACAUGUUCAAAACCAAACAUCUUCCUUUCUUAAGGCUGCAUCCCACCUGGUUGUUGAAGUCAGAAACCUGGAUUCUACAUUCUCCCUUAACCCCAUAUCCAAUUAAAGCAGGCAGAAUAAUGGCUCCCUC
rnacentral:antisense_RNA from 1 species